GAUGAACGCUAGCGGCAGGCUUAAUACAUGCAAGUCGAGGGGCAGCGCAGUGUAGCAAUACAUGGGCGGCGACCGGCAAACGGGUGCGGAACACGUACACAACCUUCCUACAAGUGGGGAAUAGCCCAGAGAAAUUUGGAUUAAUACCCCGUAACAUAGCGAUGUGGCAUCACAUUGCUAUUAUAGCUUCGGCGCUUGUUGAUGGGUGUGCGGCUGAUUAGUUAGUUGGCGGGGUAACGGCCCACCAAGUCUACGAUCAGUAGCUGAUGUGAGAGCAGGAUAAGCCACACGGGCACUGAGACACGGGCCCGACUCCUACGGGAGGCAGCAGUAAGGAAUAUUGGACAAUGGACGCAAGUCUGAUCCAGCCAUGCCGCGUGAAGGAUUAAGGUCCUCUGGAUUGUAAACUUCUUUUAUAAGGGACGAAAAAAGGUCUUUCUAGAUCGUCUGACGGUACCUUAUGAAUAAGCACCGGCUAACUCCGUGCCAGCAGCCGCCGUAAUAC
rnacentral:rRNA from 1 species